rnacentral:rRNA from 1 species
UACGUAGGUGGCAAGCGUGUCCGGAUUUACUGGGCUUAAAGGGCGUGCAGGCGGUUUGUUAAGUGCAGGGUGAAAGCUCCCCGGCUCAACUGGGAGAGGUCCUUGCAUACUGGCAAACUCGAGGGAGGCAGAGGAAAGUGGAAUUCCCGGUGUAGUGGUGAUAUGCGUAGAUAUCGGGAGGAACACCUGUGGCGAGGCGGCUUUCUGGGCCU